rnacentral:rRNA from 1 species
AUGAACGCUGGCGGCGUGCCUAAUACAUGCAAGUCGAGCGAACAGACGAGGAGCUUGCUCCUCUGACGUUAGCGGCGGACGGGUGAGUAACACGUGGAUAACCUACCUAUAAGACUGGGAUAACUUCGGGAAACCGGAGCUAAUACCGGAUAAUAUAUUGAACCCCCUGGUUCCAUAAUGAAAGACGGUUUUGCUGUCACUUAUAGAUGGAUCCGCGCCGCAUUAGCUAGUUGGUAAGGUAACGGCUUACCAAGGCAACGAUGCGUAGCCGACCUGAGAGGGUGAUCGGCCACACUGGAACUGAGACACGGUCCAGACUCCUACGGGAGGCAGCAGUAGGGAAUCUUCCGCAAUGGGCGAAAGCCUGACGGAGCAACGCCGCGUGAGUGAUGAAGGUCUUCGGAUCGUAAAACUCUGUUAUUAGGGAAGAACAAAUGUGUAAGUAACUAUGCACGUCUUGACGGUACCUAAUCAGAAAGCCACGGCUAACUACGUG